rnacentral:misc_RNA from 1 species
UAUUCUUGUGUUCAUCCUGACAUACCAAAUGGUGGCCCAUUCUUCAUACUAUUGCAUUUCAUGGCCUUUUGAACCAUAUAUGCCCCAACUGAAAGGCCAGCUUUGAAUGGUAGUUUGAUAAGCAUUACCAUGAUAAUGAAUAAGGAGUACAAUCUCACUUCGGGAGAAAAAACUUGUCAAAAAAUGCAACAUUUACACCACACUAUAGGUGCCAUUUUCUUCAUUACUGUUUUCUUAAAGAUGACUCGCAAUAAAUUAAAUACUAAGAUUUUAGUAAACUUAUAUAUCACCAGCACAACUUCAGAUAUGACAAAUUUAAUUUAUGUGAAGUUUAUAUAACUUCAAGUCUUCAACUAAACCUCAACUAGUUUAGAAUUCAGAACUAAGGCUUAGUCGAGUGGUCUGCAAAAUCUAAAUGGUUAACUGCAUAAGAUGCUGACAAAAACACAAAAAUUAUUAAAAAUUAUGGCAAUAAAAUGAAUCAAAUUAUUGAUA